rnacentral:rRNA from 1 species
AGGAUUCCCCUAGUAAGGGGGACUGAAGCGGGAAGAGCUCACAGUGUGAAUCUGCACUCUAGUAGUGCCGAAUUGUGGUCUGUAGAAGUUUGUGUUUGGCCGGCCGGGUUAAGUCCCUUGGAAAAGGGCAGCAGAGAGGGUGAGACUCCCGUUCUUGCCUGGGUUUGGCCAUUUGACACUUACUUUCAACGAGUCGAGUUGUUUGGGAUUGCAGCUCAAAGUGGGUGGUAAAUUCCAUCUAAAGCUAAAUAUUGGUGGGAGACCGAUAGCGAACAAGUACUGUGAAGGAAAGAUGAAAAGAACUUUGAAAAGAGAGUUAAAGAGUGCCUGAAAUUGCUGAAAGGGAACCGUAGGUCAUCAGUGUUGGCUUCGUGCAUGUUUGGCUCUCCUACCUGGGGUGGUCUUUGUGCACGCGGCCUACUCAUCGUCACCAUUGCCCGGAGGACAGCUUGCGCUCUGGGUGGUGUUGGGGCUGAGAAAAUGGUGCUCUACACCCCGUCUUGAAACACGGACCAAGGAGUCUAAC